AUGUGUGAUGCUAGUGAUUAUGCUGUUGGUGUUGUUCUAGGAAAAAGAGUUGAUAAGAAAUUAAAUGUUAUCCCUUAUGCUAGCAAAACUCUAGACAUUGCCCAAAGAAAUUAUGCUACCACUGAGAAAAAAAAAUUGGCAGUUGUGUUUGCUUGUGAUAAAUUCAGAUCUUACAUUAUUGAUUCCAAAAUAAUUGUUCACACCGAUCGUGCUGCUAUAAAAUAUCUUCUGGAAAAGAAAGAUGCCAAACCUAGACUCAUUAGGUGGGUUCUCUUUCUACAAGAAUUUGAAUUACAUAUCACUGAUAGGAAAGGAGCUGAGAACCCCGUAGCUGAUAACUUGUCUAGGUUAGAAAAUAUUCUUGAUGACCCACUACCUAUUGAUGAUAGUUUUCCUGAUGAACAACUAGCUACAAUAAAUAUACUACUUAUAAUACUCCUUGGUAUGCUGACUAUGCUAAUUAUAUCGUUCCUAAAUUUACACCACCUAGUUUUACAUACCAACAAAAGAAAAAAUUCUUCUAUGACUUAA
rnacentral:rRNA from 1 species